UCUAUCUCUAUCUUAUUGCGAUAUAGAUACUCGUAGAAUGCACAAGGCGGAGAGCUGCCAGAAGUAACUGGAACUGGGUAACACCUUCGGAGAGACAUCAAGACAGACCGACAGAGAGACAGAGAGACAGACAGACACUUGGCCAACACAAAGCCACUUGGCUGAAAAGAGCGGCUCAAGGUCAUCACGCCACCACACACUAACAACAAAAUACACACAAACCAAAAGCAACAAACCAAAACAGAAACCAAAGUGAACCAUAGCCAUAGUCGAUUCUCCCGGCAAAGUGAUACCCCGUACUCGAAACACUCUUCUCGGCUUGAGCAUGAUGUUGAUUCGCUGUGAAAAUUUCCCAUAAAAAGACAAAUCUUGGUUUAUAGAGAAGUAUAGAGAACUGCCUGGAUCUUCCCUCAGCAUUUUCUGGCUAUCAAUGCUGUUGCUUUUUGAGGAGAACUUGGUUUUAUUUUGAUUUGACAAAAUUAGGUACUAACAUAGCGAAAUGAAACAGAAAUUAAAUUAAAUAUAU